AUUGAACGCUGGCGGAAUGCUUUACACAUGCAAGUCGAACGAUGAAGCCUAGCUUGCUAGGUCGAUUAGUGGCGAACGGGUGAGUAAUAUAUCGGAACGUAUCCAAUAAUGGGGGAUAACUAGUCGAAAGAUUGGCUAAUACCGCAUACGUCCUACGGGAGAAAGUUGGGGAUCGUAAGACCUGGCGUUAAUGGAGCGGCCGAUAUCUGAUUAGCUAGUUGGCGAGGUAAAGGCUCACCAAGGCGACGAUCAGUAGCUGGUCUGAGAGGACGACAAGCCACACUGGAACUGGGACAAGGUCCAGACGCCUACGGGGUGCAGCAGUGGGGAAUUUUGGACAAUGGGCGAAAGACUGAUCCAGCCAUUCCGCGUGAGUGAAGAAGGCCUUCGGGUUGUAAAGCUCUUUCGCAAGGGAAGAACACUUACUUAAUAACACUAAGUGAGGUUGACGGUACCUUGAUAAGAAGCACCGGCUAACUACGUGCCAGCCGCCGCCGUAACAC
rnacentral:rRNA from 1 species